rnacentral:lncRNA from 1 species
AAAGCGAAGUGGUAUGCUUUCUCUGUUGGCUAGGGGAAAGAAGUUCUGGAUACUUCUUAGGUGACCGUAAAUCUGUUUGCAGUGUAACAUAAUUAUGGAAAAACAAAUUACAUGAUAUGCUAUACACAAGUAAAUUUGUUAUACUAAUUACUGAAGAUAGCUUAGUAAUACAGCACAACAGAACACAUGAAAACACAAAUAAAGCAAUCAUACCAAGUCAGGUAACCAUUUUGGAACUAAAUAGUACACGACAUAUAAAGAUUUGUCAUUAUACAGCUUUGUAUAUCGUACACACAAAGAAAAAAGGUAAAACCUAACAUACCGCCACUUGAAUCAUCAAGAAACUCAUCUACAGACAGCUGUGGAAGUGCCACAUACGAAGAAAAACUAGAGCAAUCUCCACGAUGAUAUGAGGACUCCCUAUUGAAAAACCUGGGAGCAGAUGAUUGCCGGGAUAACGAA